GUCUAUGGCCAUGCCACCCUGAACAGGCCCAAUCCUGUUUGAUCUUGGAAGCUAAGCAGGGUCGAGUCUGGUUAAUACUUGGAUGGGAGACCACCUAGGAAGACCAGGUGCUGUAGGCA
rfam:Pteropus alecto contig90728, whole genome shotgun sequence.